GGAAGGAUCAUUACAAAAUAAAAAGCUCCCCCCGCCGGCGACUGCCGGAAGAGGGGGGCUUAACGGUGAGGGGGUUUAUGCCCCCGAACUGUUGGACCCUUUGUGAAAACCCUCCGUUGCCUCGGCGGCACUCCCUGCCGCGCGGCGCUCUUCUGCGCUGCGCUGGGGGGGAAGGUCAGUCCGCCGGCGGCACCCAACCAAAACCCAUGACCAUUUUGAAGAAGCUGUCUGAAACCUAAAGUCGAAUGACUAUAAAACUUUCAACAACGGAUCUCUUGGUUCCCGCAUCGAUGAAGAACGCAGCGAAACGCGAUAGUUAAUGUGAAUUGCAGAAUUCAGUGAAUCAUCGAGUCUUUGAACGCACAUUGCGCCUUUUGGUAUUCCGAGAGGCACGCCUGUCUGAGCGUCAGUUAAACCACUUCGGUAGUAUCCAAUUACCGGUGUUGGCGGCGGGUGGUCCCACCGUGGAUCCCCCCGCUUAAACCUGGCGUGGGGUAAGCUAGCCAGCAAAACCGCAAAUAGUAGAAUUUCCUUCUUUUGCGCAACCCUGGCCCGGCCCCCCCUUCAAAGUAAACCCCAUCUCUUUGACCUCAGAUCAGACGAGGAUACCCGCUGAACUUAAGCAUAUCAAUAAGCGGAGGAAAAGAAACCAACAGGGAUUGCCUCAGUAGCGGCGAGUGAAGCGGCAAAAGCUCAGAUUUGAAAUCAGGUGUGUUUUUCGCGCCCGAGUUGUAAUCUGGAGAGGAUGCUCCGGCGAAGCCGGCCGCCCAAGUUCCUUGGAACAGGACGUCUCAGAGGGUGAGAACCCCGUACCCGGCGGCAUGGUCAGCCAUGUGGAGCUCCCUCGACGAGUCGAGUUGUUUGGGAAUGCAGCUCAAACUGGGUGGUAAAUUCCAUCUAAAGCUAAAUAUUGGCGGGAGACCGAUAGCGCACAAGUAGAGUGAUCGAAAGAUGAAAAGCACUUUGAAAAGAGAGUUAAAAAGUACGUGAAAUUGUUGAAAGGGAAGCGCUUGCCAUCAGAACGGGCGCCGGUCGAUCAACGUUCCUUCUGGUUCGUGCACUCGGCCGGCUGCCCUGCCAGCAUCGGUCGCCGCGGCGGGAGAAAGGCGGCGGGAAAGUGGCUCCCCUCGGGGAGUGUUAUAGCCCGCCGUGCCAUACCGCCAGCUGACGACCGAGGACCGCGCUUCGUGCAAGGAUGCUGGCCUAAUGGUUGUAAGCGACCCGUCUUGAAACACGGACCAAGGAGUCUAACAUCCACGCGAGUGUUCGGGUGUCAAACCCGCGCGCGCAAUGAAAGUGAACGGAGGCGGGAGCCUUCACCGGUGCACCGUCGACCGAUCCUGAUGUCCUCGGAUGGAUUUGAGUAGGAGCGUGGCUGUUGGGACCCGAAAGAUGGUGAACUAUGCCUGAAUAGGGUGAAGCCAGAGGAAACUCUGGUGGAGGCUCGCAGCGGUUCUGACGUGCAAAUCGAUCGUCAAAUUUGGGUAUAGGGGCGAAAGACUAAUCGAACCAUCUAGUAGCUGGUUCCUGC
rnacentral:misc_RNA from 1 species